AGAACGAACGCUGGCGGCAGGCCUAACACAUGCAAGUCGAGCGCCCAGCAAUGGGAGCGGCAGACGGGUGAGUAACGCGUGGGAACCUUCCCGAUAGUACGGAAUAGCUCAGGGAAACUUGAGGUAAUACCGUAUACGCCCGUAAGGGGAAGAUUCAUCGCUAUCGGAUGGGCCCGCGUAGGAUUAGCUAGCUGGUGAGGUAAUGGCUCACCAAGGCGACGAUCCUUAGCUGGUUUGAGAGAAUGACCAGCCACACUGGGACUGAGACACGGCCCAGACUCCUACGGGAGGCAGCAGUGGGAAUCUUGGACAAUGGGCGCAAGCCUGAUCCAGCCAUGCCGCGUGAGUGACGAAGGUCUUCGGAUUGUAAAGCUCUUUUGCCAGGGACGAUAAUGACGGUACCUGGAGAAUAAGCCCGGCUAACUUCGUGCCAGCAGCCGC
rnacentral:rRNA from 1 species